GACGAACGCUGGCGGCGUGCUUAACACAUGCAAGUCGAACGGAGUGCUCAUGACAGAGGUUUCGGCCAAUGGAUUGAGUUACUUAGUGGCGGACUGGUGAGUAACGCGUGAGGAACCUGCCUUUCAGAGGGGGACAACAGUUGGAAACGACUGCUAAUACCGCAUGAUACUUUUUGGGGGCAUCCCUAAAAAGUCAAAGCUUUAUGUGCUGAAAGAUGGUCUCGCGUCUGAUUAGCUAGUUGGUGAGGUAAUGGCUCACCAAGGCGACGAUCAGUAGCCGGUCUGAGAGGAUGAACGGCCACAUUGGGACUGAGAUACGGCCCAG
rnacentral:rRNA from 1 species